rnacentral:rRNA from 1 species
AACGCGAAGAACCUUACCCAGGCUUGACAUGCAGAGGAAGUUACCAGAGAUGGUAAUGCCCUUCGGGGCUUCUGCACAGGUGCUGCAUGGCUGUCGUCAGCUCGUGCCGUGAGGUGUUGGGUUAAGUCCCGCAACGAGCGCAACCCUUAUCAUUAGUUGCCAACACGUGAAGGUGGGAACUCUAAUGAGACAGCCUAGGUUAACUAGGAGGAAGGUGAGGAUGACGUCAAGUCCGCAUGGCCCUUAUGUCUGGGGCUACACACGUGCUACAAUGGUCGGUACAGAAGGCAGCGAAGUCGCGAGGCGAAGCAAAUCCCGAAAGCCGACCCCAGUUCAGAUUGUAGUCUGCAACUCGACUACAUGAAGUUGGAAUUGCUAGUAAUGGCGUGUCAGCUAUAACGCCGUGAAUACGUUCCCGGGCCUUGUACACACCGGCUAC